GACGAACGCUGGCGGCGUGCUUAACACAUGCAAGUCGAACGGUGAAGCGCCUUCCUUUUUGGUGGGUGUGGAUGAGUGGCGAACGGGUGAGUAACACGUGAGUAACCUGCCCCCUUCUUCUGGAUAACCGCAUGAAAGUGUGGCUAAUACGGGAUAUUCUGGGUCUGUCGCAUGAUGGGUCUGGGAAAGAUAUUGUUUCGGUGGGGGAUGGGCUCGCGGCCUAUCAGCUUGUUGGUGGGGUGAUGGCCUACCAAGGCGGUGACGGGUAGCCGGCCUGAGGGGGUGGACGGUCACACUGGGACUGAGACACGGCCCAGACUCCUACGGGAGGCAGCAGUGGGGAAUAUUGCACAAUGGGCGCAAGCCUGAUGCAGCGACGCCGCGUGAGGGAUGGAGGCCUUCGGGUUGUGAACCUCUUUCGCCAGUGAAGCAGGCCUGCCUCGUUUGUGGGUGGGUUGACGGUAGCUGGAUAAGAAGCGCCGGCUAACUACG
rnacentral:rRNA from 1 species